AUAUCUCUCUGUACGGGAAGGAUGAGAAGCUUCGACUAAGGUUCGAUUCGAGCGCAGCGAGAAAGCGUUGCCGCAGGCAACGACCCGAAGGGCGAAGCGCGCAGCGCUGAGUAAUCCUUCCCCCACCA
rnacentral:sRNA from 1 species